UACGUAGGGACCGAGCGUUGUCCGGAUUCAUUGGGCGUAAAGAGCUCGUAGGCGGCUGUUCAAGUCGAACGUGAAAACUCGGAGCUCAACUCCGAGCCUGCGUUCGAUACUGGACGGCUAGAGUCUGGUAGGGGGAUCUGGAAUUCCUGGUGUAGCGGUGAAAUGCGUAGAGAUCAGGAAGAACACCGGUGGCGAAAGCGCUCUGCUAGGCCGCAACUGACACUGAGGGACGAAAGCUAGGGGAGCGAAUGGG
rnacentral:rRNA from 1 species